GGCGCACGGGUGCGUAACGCGUAUACAAUCUACCUUUUACAGAGAGAUACCCCAGAGAAAUUUGGAAUAAUACCUCAUAAUAUUAUUGCUCGGCAUCGAGUGACAAUUAAAGUUUCGGCGGUAAGAGAUGAGUAUGCGUCCUAUUAGCUAGUUGGUAAGGUAACGGCUUACCAAGGCUACGAUAGGUAGGGGUCCUGAGAGGGAGAUCCCCCACACUGGUACUGAGACACGGACCAGACUCCUACGGGAGGCAGCAGUGAGGAAUAUUGGUCAAUGGGCGAAAGCCUGAACCAGCCAUGCCGCGUGCAGGAAGACUGCCCUAUGGGUUGUAAACUGCUUUUAUACAGGAAGAAACACUCGGACGUGUCCGAGCUUGACGGUACUGUAUGAAUAAGCACCGGCUAACUCCGUGCCAGCAGCCGCGGUAAUACGGAGGGUGCAAGCGUUAUCCGGAAUCAUUGGGUUUAAAGGGUCCGUAGGCGGAUUAAUAAGUCAGGGGUGAAAUCCCACAGCUUAACUGUGGAACUGCCUUUGAUACUGUUAGUCUUGAGUUAUAUGGAAGUAGAUAGAAUGUGUAGUGUAGCGGUGAAAUGCAUAGAUAUUACACAGAAUACCGAUUGCGAAGGCAGUCUACUACGUAAUAUACUGACGCUAAUGGACGAAAGCGUGGGGAGCGAAC
rnacentral:rRNA from 1 species